GAGUAAGCUUUCUCUCUGUGCAAUUGCCGCUGGGAUACACCCUGUGCUCGCUUUGAGUUUAUGUUGCAAGUGAACACAGCUGGUGGUAUCCAGAGGCCGUUGACAGCCAAUGCAACAACAGCAA
rnacentral:pre_miRNA from 15 species